GAUGAACGCUGGCGGUGUGCCUAACACAUGCAAGUCGAGCGGGAUUCAUGAGGACGAAACUUCGGUCUAGAAAUCAUGAUGAGAGCGGCGGACGGGUGAGUAACGCGUAGGCAACCUGCCCUUAGCACAGGGAUAGCCUCGGGAAACCGGGAUUAAAACCUGAUAAUGCCGAACAGUCACAUGGCUGUUUGGCCAAAGAUUUAUCGGCUAAGGAUGGGCCUGCGUCUGAUUAGUUAGUUGGUGGGGUAACGGCCUACCAAGACGACGAUCAGUAGCCGACCUGAGAGGGUGAUCGGCCACAUUGGAACUGAGACACGGUCCAAACUCCUACGGGAGGCAGCAGUGGGGAAUAUUGCACAAUGGGCGAAAGCCUGAUGCAGCAACGCCGCGUGAGCGAUGAAGGCCUUUGGGUCGUAAAGCUCUGUCCUAGGGGACGAACAAAAUGACGGUACCCUUGGAGGAAGCCCCGGCUAACUACGUGCCAGCCGCCGCGGUAAUAC
rnacentral:rRNA from 1 species